CAGCACGUGGCGAAACCACGGUAGACGCACCUGCCUCAAAAGCAGGCUUCCAACGGAAGUGCCAGUUCGAGUCUGGCCGUGCCGA
rnacentral:tRNA from 1 species